rnacentral:rRNA from 1 species
AACGAACGCUGGCGGCGUGCCUCAGACAUGCAAGUCGAACGAUUAAAGCUCUCUUCGGAGAGUGUAUAGAGUGGCGCACGGGUGAGUAACACGUAAGUAAUCUACCUUCGAGUGGGGAAUAACGUCCGGAAACGGACGCUAAUACCGCAUAAUGCAGCGGCAUCGCAAGAUGACAGUUGUUAAAGAAUUUAUUCGCUUGAAGAGGAGCUUGCGGCAGAUUAGCNGUUGGUAAGGUAACGGCUUACCAAGGCUACGAUCUGUAACCGGUCUAAGAGGACGGUCGGUCACACUGACACUGACAUACGGGUCAGACUCCUACGGGAGGCAGCAGUCGGGAA